AUGCACCGCUCAACUCGCAUGGUCCCACGUGGGGUACCUAGUUCUCAGCAGCCAAUCAGAAGCUACGCAGGCCACGCUCAGCCUGUCGGCUCGGAGAGGAAGUGCAGUCGCGUUGCUCUUCCGGUCUGCAGUGAUCAGCUUGCAAGGAAUACCAUAUUUUGGUUUAUAUUACAGGGAUGUAUAAACAGCUGAUCUGAGAGGUGCUCUGAUUGAUCACUGUGGGUUCUGUUGGGUGACCCCACCCUGAAGUGAAACAACAGUCGUUGCCAGCAGGGGGAACAUAGAGAGACAUAAAAGGUAGCAAUCAAUCUACAAAAGAGAAAACGGCAGAUAAAACCUGUUCCCGGUUCAGGACUAGGUAUUUCCGACAGUCUUUCAACAACCGUAUCAAUCACUGAUGCUUCAAAAUAUAUACCAACUUGGCAAAAAAAAAACCAUCUUCCUCCUGUUUAACCUGACCAGCUAGCGAAUUAGGUUGGGCCUCUGUGUUAAUACAUGUAUUUCAGUACAAGCCUCCAGGCUCUAAAAUAAAAUAAAAAAGAUAAAUUAAAGGAAUGCUAAAUAUAAAUAAAUAAAAACCUGAGGAUUACUCUUCAGAAUUCCUACUUACUCUCACCUUAAAUUAUCCGGCAAAACAUUUCAAAGCCCCCUUUAGAAAGGGUUUUUCAACAAAGCAGUAUUUUUUUCUGGAGCAGAUUGUCAAGGACAUUAGCUAGCUCAAGGAAUAAAAGAGUUUAGUGUGUAGUACAUUUCAUCAUUACAUACCUCACCUCACUUAAAGGGGAGGAGGAUGCAUUGGGAUGGAUUUGAGAAGAGGUCUUGGACACAGAAAAUACAGAAUGACCUGAAGAAAAUGGAAAUUGUAUGGAACCCUAUUCAAAGUUAUGUUUUAAUAACACUCAAACACGUACCCUUAGUUAUUCAUUUUCCAAUACCCAGCCCUGAUAGUGCACGUUUGCAUUGUGACGGCCCAUAGCACAAAGCGGGGACAUAGGAAGCGUAGUUUAUUAAAUUACUUAUUACAUCUAUGAGCAACCUGAUCCCUUCCCUACUGAAAGAGAACCAGGGAUGACUAAAUGGAUGUUGUCACAGAUGCACUUCUACAGUAGAGUCCCCAGGGGCCAAUCGUCACAGCAGGUUUUAAAAGGCUGUGUGGCCUAAUACCAUGCAAGCCAGUGAGUGUGCAAAAGAAAUGUCAAAGUAGCCAGACUUUUUUUGUCUUCUUAGUACAUAAAGGAAGGCUUUUGCGAAGCGGUGUUAAAAAAAGUGUAUGUACAAAAAUAUCUGUUGACUUGCUGUGUUUUGGGGGUAGAGAAGCCCCUCAGCUAUGCCUCCAAAACACAGUACAGCACAGAAACCUUAUAGUUUGAACUUAUACUGUGUUUUAGUUAAAGAAUCAGUAACACCAUCAGUCUUUAAUUCCCCUAUUUGAAAGAGCGAUAUACGUGUUCCAGCCAAGACUUGUGUGUGUGUGUGUGUGUGUGUGUGUGUGUAAUGUAUAAGGCUUUUGACAUGUCUAGGAUGGCCACUCACCCGUAGACAGGCAUUGGCGGAAAAAAAACAUUCAAAGUAUUCACAAAGGAAAAUACCUUUUUCUUCCUCGGACUGAGGGGUUCAGCCAUUGUUCUUUGACUUAGCAGCAUCAUCAUCCUCACCACAAAUGAUCCGGACAGACGCCAUUUGUUUGCAACACAACACCAGGUUGAGUGUUAGUUACUGUAGGUUGAAAUGACACCUCGAUCAUUAAGGGUCACUCACUGUCUUGACUGAGGACCAACACUUUGGUUGUCCUGUUGUUGGGGGGGAGGGGGGUUUCCUUUAUCAGAUUUUGACUUAAAAGGUCAGAAUCCUUUGCCGAGGAUUGUCUUUUGAAACACCUCUGUUAGAAGACUAAGAUUAGAUUGAAACUAUUACUUUUUAGACUGUACAUUUUACUGCAGUUAGAGGGAAGGGAAAAACAGGAAUAGGUUGCAUUUUUUUUAAAUUAUUUAGCUAUAAAGGGGUUGAACUUUUAUAAUUUAUAACAUAGAAUUGAACAAUUGAAGUAGUGCUUUUCAAAAGCCUUAUUAAUGAUGAAAAACAUAAAUAAGUAAAACAAACAAAACUAUCAUUUACUUUUUACAUAAUGUCCCUUACAACGAUAUUUAUCUAUUUUUAAAUUACCUUUCAAAUGUUUAGUAUUUGGUUUUCCAUUGGACUUCCAAAAAGAGAUUUUAAUGCCUUCCCUCUCAAAACAAGUUUGAACCAGCCCUGAAGUGACAGGCAGGUCUGCAAAACGCAAAAAAUGAAAUUGUGGAGGGGGGUCGUCGUUGCUGUGCGAGGAACAGGACGGGCCGGGGGUGGGUGGUCCAUUAGCUGUGAGAGGAGACGUCAGAGGAGCUGCUGCUGUUGCUGUUGGUGGUCUGGGCUCGCUUGAUGUACAGGUUCAGCAGCUUCAUCUGCAGGCACACAAACAGACCUGUGCUCUAUACCGUGUUUAAAGCUUCACUACAGGGCUCCCUUUAAAAAUAGAUAUUUGAUUAAAUUCAACGACUUCAAUAAAGGAUUUGAAUAAAACAGUUUUAGUUGUUGAGUGAAUGUGGGUGCGUGUACGUUUAUGCGUGUGUGUGCGCGUGUGUGUGUGUGUGUGUGUGUGUGUGUGUGUUUGUAUGUGCAUUGGGUCACCUUGCUGCCUGUGAGCUGUGCCAGGUGUGGCUUCAGAUCUUCUCCUAUCACAGAGUAGAUGGCGACCAGACAGAACACGCUGGCCUUGCGCACGCUGCUCUCCGUGUUGUCAUAACCCUGGACCCAGAGAGAGUAGCAUCACACACACACACAGCCGGAGACAUCGAUACAAACAUAAACACACACACGCACCAACGCAUGCAUACACACACAUAAAAUACAAAUCCAUGAAUACGAGAUUAAUUUAUAUACAGAGAAUUCUUUUUAAAGCCCUCUCACACAAAAACCCACACCCAUACAUUAACACACUAACACGAUAACAGACUAUAACCCAACCACACACUAACACACUAAAACAGCCACACUAACACAGCCACACACUAACACACUCAGUAUUAGAGCCUAGGAGGUAGAGGUCACAGGUUCAAAGUCCCACAUAAGGCCUGGAGUCGUCCCUGGUCCAAUAAGAACUUCAUCUGGACAACGUGUACAACACACCGUUCAACACAUACUAUGAGGAGUUAACAUAGAUACAUGUUCAUGAGACAAGAAAAAUGUUUUGGUUUACCUCAUCAAUUUGUAACAGAAUACUUUUGUUUUUACAUGUAUUAAUGCUGAGAACAAUAAAAAGUCAUUAUUUUACAUUAUAGGUAAAAAAAAUAUUAGAUUUCUUUCCUUUGAAGCACAAAGAUAAUAUGUUAGAUAUAUGACAUGCUACAAAACUCAAACAAAGUAUAUGAUACUAUAAUAAUAAUAAUAAUACAUUUAAUUUAGAGGCGCCUUUCAAGACACCCAAGGUCACCAUGAUCAAGGUCACCAUCACACUAUGAUGAUAUAUAGGUGGUAUCACACGAUAUAUACACUUACAUUCAUACAUUGCUCAAGGGGUAUUUUAGCUCACGGUCUGCUUACUUACUGGGAAUCUUGCCGUGCUGUUAACUGCCAAUAAUGCACACAUCUCACUCCUAGAAUAAUCCCGGCCAUGGUUAAGGAUAAGACGUCUGAUGUGAAUCAUACUGACA
rnacentral:lncRNA from 1 species